GGUGGAGCGAUUUGUCUGGUUAAUUCCGAUAACGAACGAGACUCUAGCCUGCUAAAUACAGAGGGGAUUUCUUGUCCUCCACUGUUCUUAGCUGGAUUCGGGACUCCAAGUCCCAAGAAAUGGAGCAAUAACAGGUCUGUGAUGCCCUUAGAUGUUCGGGGCCGCACGCGUGCUACAAUGAUGGUAACAGCGUGAUUGUCCUCGCCCGACAGGGCUUGGCAAACAGUUGAGAUAUUAUUAUGGCUGGAAUUGAGUGUUGAAAUUUUCUCUCAUGAACGAGGAAUUCCAAGUAAAUGCGAGUCAUCAACUCGCAUUGAAUACGUCCCUGCCCUUUGUAC
rnacentral:rRNA from 1 species